rnacentral:rRNA from 1 species
UGCAAGUCGAGCGAAUGGAUUAAGAGCUUGCUCUUAUGAAGUUAGCGGCGGACGGGUGAGUAACACGUGGGUAACCUGCCCAUAAGACUGGGAUAACUCCGGGAAACCGGGGCUAAUACCGGAUAACAUUUUGAACCGCAUGGUUCGAAAUUGAAAGGCGGCUUCGGCUGUCACUUAUGGAUGGACCCGCGUCGCAUUAGCUAGUUGGUGAGGUAACGGCUCACCAAGGCAACGAUGCGUAGCCGACCUGAGAGGGUGAUCGGCCACACUGGGACUGAGACACGGCCCAGACUCCUACGGGAGGCAGCAGUAGGGAAUCUUCCGCAAUGGACGAAAGUCUGACGGAGCAACGCCGCGUGAGUGAUGAAGGCUUUCGGGUCGUAAAACUCUGUUGUUAGGGAAGAACAAGUGCUAGUUGAAUAAGCUGGCACCUUGACGGUACCUAACCAGAAAGCCACGGCUAACUACGUGCCAGCAGCCGCGGUAAUACGUAGGUGGCAAGCGUUAUCCGGAAUUAUUGGGCGUAAAGCGCGCGCAGGUGGUUUCUUAAGUCUGAUGUGAAAGCCCACGGCUCAACCGUGGAGGGUCAUUGGAAACUGGGAGACUUGAGUGCAGAAGAGGAAAGUGGAAUUCCAUGUGUAGCGGUGAAAUGCGUAGAGAUAUGGAGGAACACCAGUGGCG